rnacentral:rRNA from 1 species
GACGAACGCUGGCGGCGUGCUUAACACAUGCAAGUCGAACGGAAAGGCCCUGCUCUUGUGGGUUGCUCGAGUGGCGAAAGGGUGAGUAACACGUGAGUAACCUGUCCUUGACUUUGGGAUAACUUCAGGAAACUGGGGCUAAUACCGGAUAGGAGCUCCUGCUGCACGGUGGGGGUUGGAAAGUUUCGGCGGUUGGGGAUGGACUCGCGGCUUAUCAGCUUGUUGGUGGGGUAGUGGCUUACCAAGGCUUUGACGGGUAGCCGGCCUGAGAGGGUGACCGGCCACAUUGGGACUGAGAUACGGCCCAGACUCCUACGGGAGGCAGCAGUGGGGAAUAUUGCACAAUGGGCGGAAGCCUGAUGCAGCAACGCCGCGUGCGGGAUGACGGCCUUCGGGUUGUAAACCGCUUUCGCCUGUGACGAAGCGUGAGUGACGGUAAUGGGUAAAGAAGCACCGGCUAACUACGUG